rnacentral:tRNA from 1 species
CUCCCUGUAGUUCAACGGAUAGAACAAGUCACUCCUAACGACUAGAUGUAGGUUCGAUUCCUGCCAGGGAGA